rnacentral:lncRNA from 1 species
CUGCUGCUGCUACUGAAUUUGAGGCAUGCCAUGCACCGCUUCUGCAGUGAUAGCUUUGUUUUUGCAAAGUGAAUGGAAUGGAGUUUGUGGGGAUGUAGAAUGCAGGCACUGAGAAACCUACAUGAAUGUGUAAGAAUGACCACAAGGCACCAAACGCUAAUUAUGUUGAUGCAAUUCUAUCUGAUGUUCUACUCCUUAAAUAGGUCAUGUGGUUUCACUGACAGAGGGAAAAGAAACUGAUUAUUUUUGGAAGAAGGAAGAAGACACAAGUUAGUUGGGUGCUUAUGGUGUGUCAGAUGCUGCAGCUAGACUCCAAAAAAGUCUCAUUGGGGCGCCUGGCUGGCUCAGUCGGUAGAGCACGGGACUCUUGAUCUCCUGGUUGUGAAUUCAAGCCCCACAUUGCACGUGGAGUCUGCUUUAAAAAAAAAAAAAGGCUCAUAAAGACUGUUUAAAUCUGAGGAGAGUACUACUUUCAGAAUUGAAAUGAGCCUGUGGUCUACAGCAUCAGUGGUCUGUAAGACAGGGUUACCAAGGAAGGGAAGUGGUGACACCUGACACGUGUAUGCAGCUAUCCAUGUGAUUAGGACCACCUGACUAGUGGCUGUAGCCAUGCAUAGUCAUGGUAGACAACUCAGGUGAUCCUCAUAUGGGGAGAGUUAAAAUAUUGCCCUGUUUUUUUUUUUCAAAAAAGAUAGGGAAACUAUCUUUUGAUCCUUAAAAUGGUUUUAGAUGAAACAUCAUUGGGCAUUCCAUAGCAUUGAAAUACAUAAUGAGUAAAAGCUCUCUUUAAUUUCCUCUCAAUUUUCUGAUUAUGUCAAGUAGGAAGUUUUAGUUCUGCAUUAGUAAGAUUUGAACUCUUCUCAGAGCAGGCGACCUUCUCUCUCCCUAGGCUUGAAUAACUCCUUAUUUGUAGCACUUUUUUGCACAGUUACAUCUUAUUUAUGGCAAGUGAAACUGAUUUUCUACUUGUGUGGAUUAGACAUUGCAAAAAUGGAUCCAUAUAAAAAAAUAGAGCUGGUUUAAAAAAAUAUUAACUAAAUAAUCAUACAAAGUGAUUAGCCAAAUGGGCCAUGGGGGCUGACCUGAAGAGAUUACUCAGCAUAUAAAACUUUAUAACUUUGGUGAUUAAGAGGUAGAUGGUUUUACAAAUGAAAAUAAAAAACUUAGUUUGCAUAGGUCCUACCUGCUU